rnacentral:tRNA from 1 species
AGAAUAAUAAACUAUUAAAGUUUGUAGGUUCAUACCCUGCCCAUGGAUUUAAUCCUUAUUCUA